AGCGGCGGACGGGUGAGUAACGCGUGGGUAACCUGCCUCAUACAGGGGGAUAACAGUUGGAAACGGCUGCUAAUACCGCAUAAGCGCACAGUACCGCAUGGUACCGUGUGAAAAACUCCGGUGGUAUGAGAUGGGCCCGCGUCUGAUUAGCUAGUUGGUGGGGUAACGGCCUACCAAGGCGACGAUCAGUAGCCGACCUGAGAGGGUGACCGGCCACAUUGGGACUGAGACACGGCCCAA
rnacentral:rRNA from 1 species